AACUAGAAGAUAAUUAACAAAAUGGCAAUAAGUACAUACCUAUCAAUAACUACUUCAAAUGUAAAUAGUCUAAUUGCUCCAAUCCAAGACAUAGCGUGGAGGAAGAGAUAAAAAAAAACAAGACCCAUUAAUAUGGUGCCUACAAGAGACUCAAUUCAGAGCUAAGACCACAUACACACUGAAAGUGAAAAGAUAGAAAAAGUUAUUUCAUGCAAGUGGAAGUGAAAACAAAAAGCAAUGUUUACAUCAGCAAAAUAGACUUUAAAACAGAGUAAGUUCUGAUCCAAGCUGACAACUUGGGAAGAUCCUCAACUCACCAGAUCUAUACCAAUUUAUCAGGCGAUUCCUUCUGAAGAAUGGGCUGACUGAACAGCUGCACAACAAAAGACAGAGACAUGGCAAGGGGGAACAUUCACCCCUGAUGCUGUGAAUUGCACUGGGGAGGGACAGUACUAAGUACUAAAAGAUUCAUCUGCCCUGGGAUACAGAAAAAAAAAAAAAAAAGCCAGGCUUAAAAGAGCAACUAGAAUAUAAAUGAAGCAGCCCUAGAGCCCUGCCAAAUGGCAAGGGAGCUGCUGGAACUCUCUCUGGGUCAGAGGAGCUGGUGAGCACCAUAGCCAGCCUGCCACCCCAGUGAGCCCCAGGCUGCUAGCCCACAACAGUCUCAACACCCACAGGCACAGAAAACAAUGACAACAAAUCAGUUUAGAAGAGCAACUAGAAUAUUUAGAAGCCAGCCCUAGAAUUCUGCCAAACCACUGAAAAGCUACCGGAAAUCUCUCUGGGUUGGAAGAGCUGGUGAGCACUAUGGUUUAGAUUCCCCCCUCCACUUUGAUAACCUGGAUGGGAGCAGGGUCUGGGUGCCUUAGCUGGCUUAUCACUUCAACAAGCCAUGGGUCCCCACCCCCUACCAGCCCCAGCUGUCUCACCAAGGUGGCCCCAGCAAAGCACACAACAGGACACCCCUGGUCAUCUCAUUACAGCUUCAGUCAUGCCAAGGUGACACAAGCACACAGCAUCCCAUAACACUCCAGGCUUGGACCACUUCAGCUUCAGAUGGCUUGCUAGAGCACCCCCAUCACAGAGUACUCUGGGACCUCCCAACUUAUGCCUACUUUGACUCCAGCCAAUCUCUAGGAUGACCCAUAUGCAAAGCAUUCUGGGAACUCCCAGCUUGUGUUCACCUUGGUUCCAGCCACCCUGCCAGGGCAUCCCAUGCAUGGAGUACCCCAGGACACCCCAUUCUGCAUUUCACCUUGGCUCUAGCUGCCCCAAGAGGCCAACCUCUGUGUUGAGAGCCCUGGGACAUUCCAGCUUGCACCCACUUCAGUUUCAACUGUUUUUCUAGGAUGCCCACUGUACAGAGACCCUAGGGAUGCACCAGCUUAUGCCCACUACAACUGCCCUGUCAGGACACACUCUGAGCCCCAAGACCACUCCAGCCCAUGCCCACUUCAUAGCCCAUGACAGGCACAGCUCCAACUAGCCAGCCAAAGUCACCAGGCACACAGAGUCUACACUGGGAAUGAAUAUACACAAGACCAUUCCUUCAAGGUUAAGAGAAGUGCUCUGCCUAAUUCAUAGAAACAAAGGAAGUCAAGCAAAAUAAGGAGACAAGAGAAUAUGCUCCAAAUGAAAGAACAAAACCAAACCUCAGAAAGAACUAAAUGAACUAAAGGAUGUAAACAAUGUGCCUGAUAAAGAGUAUAGAGUAAUGAUCAUAAAGGUGCUUACUGGAAUGCAAAGAAAAGUAGAAGGACUCUGAAAACUUCAACAAGGAGAAAGAAAAUAUAAAAAAGAACCAAUCAGAGUUGAAGAAUACAGUAACUGAAAUGAAAAAUACACUAGAGGGAAUGAACAGAUUAGUAGAUGCAGAAGAAUGGCAGUGAUCUGACAAACAUUGUCAUGGAACACCCCCAAGCUGAAUAGGAAGAAAGAAAGGUAGGAGGGAAGGAGGAAGGGAGAGAGAAAAAAAGAGAAAAAUUUUAAAUGAGGAUAGGUAAAGGGAUCUCUUGGACAACAUCAAGCACAAUACAAAUUUGCAUUAUAGGGGUCCCAGAAAGAAAAGAGGGAAGAAGGGACAGAAAACUUAUUCUAAGAAAUAAUAGCUGAAAACAUUCCUAACCUGGGUCAGGAAAGACCUCUCGGUUCAGGAAGCACACAGAACCUCAAACAAGAUAAACCUAAGGCGGUUCUCACCAUGACAUGUAAUGAUUAAAGAGAAUUUUUUUUUUAAGAUUUUAUUUAUUUAUUUGACAGAGAUCACAAGUAGGUAGAGAGGCGGGCAGAGAGAGGGGGGGAAGUAGGCUGCCUGCCAAGCAGAGAACCCAAUGCAGAGCUCGAUCCCAGGCCCCUGAGAUCAUGACCUGAGCUGAAGGCAGAGGCUUUAACCCACUGAGCCACCCAGGUGCCCUAAAGAGAAUUCUUAAAGCCACAAGAGCGAGGCUCCUGGCUGGCUCAGUUGGUGAGUGUGUGACUCUUGACCUUGGGGCUAUAAGUUCAAGCCCCACAGUGGGUGUAGAGAUUUCUUUUAAAAAAGGUGGGGGGGGGGCGCCUGGGUUCCUCAGUGGGUUAAGCCUCUGCCUUCAGCUUGGGUCAUGAUCUCAGGGUCAUGGGAUCAAGCCCCACAUUGAGCUCUCUGUUCGGUGGGGAGUCUGCUUCCUCCUCUCUCUGCAUGCCUCUCUGCCUACUUGUGAUCUCUCUCUCUCUCUCUCUCUCUGUGUCAAAUAAAUAAAAUCUUUAAAAAAAAAUCUUUUUAAAAAAUUGAACAAAUGCAGCAACAGAAAAGAAAACAGCUACAUAAAAGAGAAACUCCAUUAGAGGCUAUCAAUUGACUUUACAGCAGAACCUGUACAGGCCAGGAAUGGGAUGCUAUAUUCAAAGUGAGAAAAGAAAAAAACCUACAACCAAGAAUACUCUACCUGCCAAGAUUAUCAUUCAGAAUUGAAGAACAGAUAGAAAUUCCCUGACAAAUAAAAGUUAAAGGACAUUGUCACCUCAAAAUUGGCCUUAGAAUAAAUGUUGAAGGGUCUUCUUUAAGUGGAAAAGAAAAGGCCAUAAUUAGGAGAAAAUUAUGAAUAAUAAAAUGUAAAUGUGACAACAUAUACAUAAAAUGUAGAGGGGGAAAUGUAAAAAUUCUUUUUUAAUGUGUUUGAACUUAAGUGACCAUCAAUUUAACACAGACUGUCAUAUACUUAGAUUGUUAUAUAUGAACAUCAUGGAAACCUAUUAUAUAUAUAUGUCAAAAAUUAGAAAGCCAAGCAUGACUCUACAGAAAGCCAUCAAUCACAAGGAGAGAGAGCAAAAGAAGAAAGGAACAGAAAACACAAAACAAACUGAGAAUUAGUGCAUACUUUCAGUAAUUACUUUGAGUGUAAAUGGUCUAAAUGUUUCAAAGACAUAGGGUGGCAGAAUGGAUUUAAAGAAAACAAGACCAAUCUAUAUACUGCCUACAAGAGACUCACUUCAGAUCUAAAGAUGCAUAAGGAUUAAAAGUGAAAGAAUGGAAGAAAGUAUUUUAUGCAAAUGAAAAAAGAAGGGGUGUGGGGGGAGCCAGAGUGGCAAUAUAAACAUAGGCAAAAUAGACUUUAAAACAGACUUUAAGGGACACCUGGGUGGCUCAGUCAGUUAAAUGUCUGCCUUCAGCUCAGGUCAUGAUCUCAGGGUCCUGAAAUUGAACCCCACAUCAGGCUCCCUGCUUGGCGGGGAGUCUACUUCUCCUUCUCCCUCUGUCCCUCUUCCUCCCCCACUUGUGCAUGCAUGCUCACUCUGUCCCAAAUAAAUAAAUAAGAUCUUUUAAAAACUAAAACAGACUUUAAUAAGAUGAAAACAAGGCCAUUAUAUUAUGAUAAAGGGAUCAGUCCAACAAGGGGAUAUAACAACUGUAAGUAUCCAUGCACCCAACUUUGGAGCACCUAAUGCACAAAGAAAAUAUUAACAAAUAAGUGGCAAACUUGGCAGUGAUAAUAAAAGUAGGAAAUUUUAACAACCCUCUUACGUCAAUGGAUAGAUCACCCAAGGAGCACAUCAAUAAAGAAACAGUAUUGGGGUGCCUGGGUGUCUCAGUUGUUUAAGAACCAACUCUUAGUUUUGGCUCAGCUCAUGAUCUCAGGGUCAUGAGAUAAAGCCCUGUGUCAGGCUCUUGUGCCUAGAGCAGAAUCUGCUUGGGAUUCUUUCUAUCUUCCUCUCCCUCCUCCUUACCCUCUCCCAAAUCAAUGAAUGAAUUAAUUAAUUAAAUCUUUUUUUUUUAAUAAGGAAACUAUUUUUAAACAUUAGACCAGAUUCUUUUUUCUUCCUCUCCCUCCCCUACUCCUCCCAAAUAAAUAAAUAAAAUCUUUUUUUUUUAAAAUAGACAGUAUUUUUGAGUGACAUUACACCAGAUGGACUUAGCAGAUACAUACAGACCGUUCAAUCCAAAAACAGCAGAGUCCACUUUUUUUUCAAGUGCAAAUGUAACAUUCUCCAGGAGAGAUCACAUGUUAGGCCACAAGUGUCAAUUUGAAACCAUACUAUGCAUCUCCUCUGACCUCAACAGUGUGAAAUCAAUCACAAGGGAAAAAAACUGGAAAAAACACAAACAUAUGGAAGCUAAACAGUAUGCUAUUAAACAACCAAUGGGUCAAUGAGGAAAUCAAAAUUUACAUGGAGAAAAAUGAAAAUGGCUAUAGAGAAGUCCAAAUCUUUGGACACGUGAAAGAAGUUCUAAGAAAUUUAUAACAAUAAAUAGGCCUACCUCAAAACAACCUAAUCUUGCACCUAAAGGAAUAGAAAAAGAACAAACAAAGCCCAACAGUAGUAGAAGGAAAUAAUAAAGAUGAGAGGAGAAAUAAAUGAAAUAGACUAAAAAAUAUAUAGAAAAGAGCAGUAAAACCAAAAGCUGGUUUUUUGAAAAGAUAAACAACAUAGAUAAACCUUUAGCCAGAGUCAUCAAGAAAAAAGAUGACCCAAGUUAAUAAAAUAAAAAUUGAUGGAAGUAACAAUCUCACAGAAAUACAAAGAAUUAUAAAAUACUGUGUAUGAAAACUUAUAUGCCAACUAACUUGACAACCUAGAAGAAAUGGAUAAAUUUCUGGAAACAUAUAAUCUUCCAAAACUGAAUGAGGAAGAAACAAAAAGAACAGACCCAUUACCAGUAAUGAAAUUGAAUCAGUAACCAAAAAAGGCCAGGACCAGAAUAAUUCACUGCUGUACUCUACCAAGCCUUUAAAGACUUAAUACCUAUUCUUCUCAAACUAUUCCAAAAAAAGGAGGAGGGAAAGCAUCCCCUACAUUCUGAGGAGGACAACAUUACCCUAGUACCAACACCAAAGAAAGACACUACAAAAAAGAAAAACUUCAAGCCAAUAUCCCUAAUGAACAUAGAUGCAAAAAUCCUCCUCAGAACAUUAGCAAACCACGUUCAACAGUACAUUAAAAGAUCAUUCAUGACAACUACACGUGAUUUAUUCCAGAAAUGUAAGAAUGGAUCAAUAUUCACAAAUCAAUUGAUGUAACACACAACAUUAAACUAAAGAAUAAAAAUCAUGUAAUCAUCUCAAUAGAUGCAGAAAAAGCAUCUGACAAAAUUCAACAUCCAUUCAUUUAAAAAAAAAAAAAACAAAUCGGUUUAGAGGGAACAUACCUCAACAUAAUAAAGUUCGUAUAUGGAAAACUUUAGCUAACAUUAUACUUAGUGGUGAAAACUUGAAAAUUUUUCCUUUUUUUUUUUUUUUAAGAUUUUAUUUAUUUAUCAGAGAGAGGGCGAGAGAGCAAGCACAGACAGACAGAAUGGCAGGCAGAGGCAGAGGGAGAAGCAGGCUCCCUGCCGAGCAAGGAGCCCGAUGUGGGACUCGAUCCCAGGACGCUGGGAUCAUGACCUGAGCCGAAGGCAGCUGCUUAACCAACUGAGCCACCCAGGCGUCCCAAAAAAUUUUCCUUUAAAAUCAGGAACGAAACAAGGAUAUCCACUCUUGCCACUCUAGAAGUGGGAGUUUUAGACAUUGCAAUCAGAGAAUAGAAAAGGCAUCCAAAUUUGUAAGACGUAAGAAUAUCACUAUUUGUAAAUGACAUGAUAUUAUACUUGGAAAGUCCUAAAGAGUUCACCAGAAAAACUACUCGAAAAAAUUAAUUCCAUAGAGUAUCAGGAUACAAAACCAAUAUACAGAAAUCUCUUGUGUUUGUAUACACUAAUAACAAAGUCUCAGAAAAAGAAAUUAAGCAAACAACUCCAUUUUCAAUUGCACCAAACAAAUGGAAAGAUAUUUCACACUCAUGGACUGGAAAAGUUAAAAUUGUUAAAAUGCCCAUAUCACCCAGGGCAAUCUACAUAUUCAGUGCGAUCCCUAUCAAAAUACCAACAAUAUUUUUCACAAAACUAUAAGAAGAAAAUCCUAAAAUGUGUGUGGAACCACAAAAGACCCCAAAUUGCCAAAGUAAUCUUUAGAAGAAUAAAGCUAAAGGUAUCACAGUCCCAGAUGUCAAAAUAUACUAAGAAGCUGUAGUAAUCAAAACAUACUUGCAUUGAUCUAUGUGGCUAUUUUUGUGCCAAUACAACAGAUUAGGAAGUGCAGAAAUAAGCCCACACUUAUCUGGUCAAUCUAUGACAAAGGAGGCAAGAAUAUACAAUGGGGAGAAGACAGUCUUUUCAAUAAAUGGUGCUGGGGAAACUGGAGAGCUACACGAAAAAGAAUGAAACUGGACCACUUUCUAACAUCAAACACAAAAAUAAAUUCAAAAUGGGUUAAAGCCUUAAACAUGAAACCUUAAACCAUGAAACUCCUCUAAGAAAAUGUAGACAGUAGGAGGCUGAAAAGAUGGUGGUGGAGUAAGAGGACCCUAAGUUCGCCUCAUCCUGUGGAUACAACUAGAAAACACUCCCAUUAGCAAAAAUAACCAAGAAGAGGACCUGAAGACUGGCAAAAGGAACUCCACUAAAAGUAGAGAAGAAGCCACAUCGAAGAAGAUAGGACAAGCAGACACAGCCUGGGAGUGAAAAAGACUGUGGCUGUUGGCAAUUGGGAGAGAGCCAUGGGCAUGAAAAAACAGACUAUCACACUGAGGAGCCCGUAUAGGGAACACGAAUCCUCAUAUUUGGCGUUGAAGGCAAAAGGGGCCAAAUCUCAUAAGUUUUUACAACUAGUGGGACUUAAAGCCUGAAAUUAAAAAAAAAAAAAAAAAAAUCAGUAAGGUCUGUUCCAGGAGAGUGGGGAGAGCGUUAGGAAGCGGAGUGCCAGCCCAUGAAGAGACAGCAGGACAAAUAACCCAUGGAGAUACUGCACUUUGAAAAACCCCUGUGGCACGCAGGAGGGAAGGUUCUUUACUCAUCUCAGAGCAUGGUCUAGAGAGUCAGGGAUCAUAGGAAGACCCCUCCAGGAACAAAAGAGCUGGCUGCCACCACUUACUUCCCCUGUCCCCCUGCAUAAACACACAGCACAGCACAGCACCUACACUCACCACCUAACUUGCUUAACCAAGUCCCUGCCCCCUUCCCCCUCCACAUUUCAGUAGAUCCACCCUUCCCAGUCACGCUUGCCUCAGUACUGGUCCUGCAGGUCCUCUCGCAAGAAAACUGGUACAAACUCUGCCGAUACCACCUCUCCUGACCCACAUUUUUCAGGGCUGAGUACCAGUGGUGGCAGGUCUUAUUUCAAAAGCAGACCACAUUGUUAAAUGUGCCCCAUCUGACUGGGAACCAAAAACUGCCCACAACAGGCAAAAUGAGCCUCUGCAGAAGACAAGACUGAAGGAAAAAAACAAAAAACAAAACAAAACAAAAACAGAGGACACACCAGAAAGGCAUGCACAACACGCAUAGGAGACACUUCCUGAAGCACCAAGUUUUAGGGAACAGAGGACUACACUGCAGGGCACUAUAGGACUUUAUCUUCAUAAGGCCAUUACCUUCAAGAGCAGGAGAUUUAGCUGACUUUCCUAACACAGAGAAACAGAAUUAGACAAAAUGAGGAAACAGAGGAAUAUGCCCCAAGGGAAAAAAAUAGGACAAAACCAUAGUAGGAGACUAAAGUAGAUACAAGUAUUAUGCCUGAUAGAGAAUUUAAACUAGUGAUCAUAAAGAUACUCACUAGACUUGAGAAAAGAGUGGAGGAUGUAAGUGAGACCAUUAAUAAAGAGACCAAAAAAACACAAACAGAGAUGAAGAACAGAAUAAAUGAAAUUUAAAAUUCUCUUGGUGGAAUAAAGAGUAGCAGGCUAGAGGAAGUAGAGAAAUUAAUAACCUGGAAGACAGCAUAAUGGAAACUAAUCAAGUUGAGCUAGUGAGAGAAAAAAAUAUGCAAAAUGAGACUGGAUUUAGGGAACCCAAUGACUGCAAGUAUAAUAAAAGUCACAUUAUAGGUAUUGAAGAAGAAGAGAGAAAAGGAGACAGAAAAUUUAUUUGAAGAAAUAAUAGCUGAAAACUCCCCUGAUCUGGGGAGGAAAACAGAUAUCCAAAUCCAGGAGGCACAGAGGUCCCCCAACAAAAUCAACCCAAGGAGGUCCACACCAAGACACAUAGCAAUUAAAACGCAAAAAAAUAGUGAUAAAAAAAAUACUGAAGUAGCAAGAAGAAAGUCUGUUACAUACAAAGGAAACCCCAUAAAGCUAUCAGUAGAUUUUUUAGCAGGAGAGAUAAAGAGCUUUCCAGACAAAACUAAAAGAAUUCAAGAGCACUAAACCAGCCCUACAAGAAAUGUUAAAGUGACUCUUUGCAUGGAAAGGAAAAUAUAAGUAAGAGUAAGAAAAGUAGAAAGCACAAAAGCAGUUAAAAUAGGUGUAUCUGUAAAAACCAGUCAAAGGAUUCACAAGGGGAUGUAAAAUAUGACACUAUAUAUGUAAAAUAUGAGGGGGAAAGGAGUAAAGAAUGGGUUCAAACUUAAGCAAGCAUCAAUUUAAUAUAAACUGAUAUAUGCAGAACAUGUUAUAUAUAACCCUGAUGGUAACCACAAAUCAAAAAACUAGUACUGGAUAUGCAAAGAAUAAAGAAAAAGGAAUCCAAGUAUGUCACCAAAGAAAGACAAUAAACCAUGAAAGAAA